rnacentral:rRNA from 1 species
GCACGGGGGAGCUUGCUCCCUGGGUGACGAGCGGCGGACGGGUGAGUAAUGUCUGGGAAACUGCCUGAUGGAGGGGGAUAACUACUGGAAACGGUAGCUAAUACCGCAUAACGUCGCAAGACCAAAGAGGGGGACCUUCGGGCCUCUUGCCAUCAGAUGUGCCCAGAUGGGAUUAGCUAGUAGGUGGGGUAAUGGCUCACCUAGGCGACGAUCCCUAGCUGGUCUGAGAGGAUGACCAGCCACACUGGAACUGAGACACGGUCCAGACUCCUACGGGAGGCAGCAGUGGGGAAUAUUGCACAAUGGGCGCAAGCCUGAUGCAGCCAUGCCGCGUGUGUGAAGAAGGCCUUCGGGUUGUAAAGCACUUUCAGCGAGGAGGAAGGUGGUGAGCUUAAUACGCUCAUCAAUUGACGUUACUCGCAGAAGAAGCACCGGCUAACUCCGUGCCAGCAGCCGCGGUAAUACGGAGGGUGCAAGCGUUAAUCGGAAUUACUGGGCGUAAAGCGCACGCAGGCGGUUUGUUAAGUCAGAUGUGAAAUCCCCGGGCUCAACCUGGGAACUGCAUUUGAAACUGGCAAGCUAGAGUCUCGUAGAGGGGGGUAGAAUUCCAGGUGUAGCGGUGAAAUGCGUAGAGAUCUGGAGGAAUACCG